GAUAAACGCUGGCGGCGUGCUUAACACAUGCAAGUCGAACGAAGUUUUUCCUUCGGGAGACACUUAGUGGCGGACGGGUGAGUAACGCGUGGGUAACCUGCCCUGUACAGGGGGACAACAGCUGGAAACGGCUGCUAAUACCGCAUAAGCACUUAGCACUGCAUGGUGCAUAGGGAAAAGGAGCAAUCCGGUACAGGAUGGACCCGCGUCUGAUUAGCCAGUUGGCAGGGUAACGGCCUACCAAAGCGACGAUCAGUAGCCGAUCUGAGAGGAUGUACGGCCACAUUGGGACUGAGACACGGCCCAGACUCCUACGGGAGGCAGCAGUGGGGAAUAUUGCACAAUGGAGGAAACUCUGAUGCAGCGACGCCGCGUGAGUGAAGAAGUAUUUCGGUAUGUAAAGCUCCAUCAGCAGGGAAGAAAAUGACGGUACCUGACUAAGAAGCACCGGCUAAAUACGUG
rnacentral:rRNA from 1 species